UACGAAGGGGGCUAGCGUUGCUCGGAAUUACUGGGCGUAAAGCGCACGUAGGCGGCUUUCUAAGUCGGGGGUGAAAUCCUGGAGCUCAACUCCAGAACUGCCUUCGAUACUGAGAGUCUCGAGUCCGAGAGAGGUGAGUGGAACUGCGAGUGUAGAGGUGAAAUUCGUAGAUAUUAGGAAGAACACCAGUGGCGAAGGCGGCUCACUGGUCCGGUACUGACGCUGAGGUGCGAAAGCGUGGGGAGCAAACAGG
rnacentral:rRNA from 1 species